rnacentral:rRNA from 1 species
UACGUAGGUGGCAAGCGUUGUCCGGAAUUAUUGGGCGUAAAGCGCGCGCAGGCGGCUUCUUAAGUCUGAUGUGAAAUCUCGGGGCUCAACCCCGAGCGGCCAUUGGAAACUGGGAAGCUUGAGUAACAGAAGAGGAGAGUGGAAUUCCACGUGUAGCGGUGAAAUGCGUAGAUAUGUGGAGGAACACCAGUGGCGAAGGCGACUCUCUGGACUGUAACUGACGCGAAGGCGCGAAAGCGUGGGAGC